UUCAUUUUAAAACAAGUCUCCAUCUGCUUCAGUUGUCAGGGAGAAUGCUCUAAUGCUGUUUUGCUGAUAAGCUCCAGAAAUGUGUUGUGGACAAUAAAACGUCACCUGACUUUCCAUCAGCAUGAGCUGCAGCAGUGGUGAGCAGCUGGAGGAAGAUAGCUGCAGGCCUUAACAAACAGCCACUUUAUGGCUUGGACCACUGAAGGAUGUUAUAUAACCAACCACCAGAGGGAUGCAAACCUUGUCCUGUGUUCGGAGUUUACCACUGAUCUGUCACCGCAUGCGAUGGAAUGGAAGAGAGGAAAGUCACGCUGGUCUCAGAGGCUCGGCGGUGGGCUGCUGCCCUCCCCGCUGGCUGUCCUCCGCUCUGGCCGCGGAGGGAGCCUCCUUGUCCAGUUUACCCGGGUCUGCUGCUUCGGCCGGCGCGGGGUCGGCGUUUUUGUCCGCCU